rnacentral:rRNA from 1 species
UACGUAGGGGGCUAGCGUUGUCCGGAAUCAUUGGGUGUAAAGCGCGUGUAGGCGGUCCGGUAAGUCCGCUGUGAAAGUCGGGGGCUCAACCCUCGGAUGCCGGUGGAUACUGUCGGGCUAGAGUGCGGAAGAGGCGAGUGGAAUUCUUGGUGUAGCGGUGAAAUGCGUAGAUAUCAAGAGGAACACCUGAGGUGAAGACGGGUUGCUGGGCCAACACUGACGCUGGAUGCGCGAAAGCUAGGGGAGCAAACGGGG